CUUGUGCUUGGCCGGGGCCCUGGCCGUAGCCGUCGUUGCCGCCGUAGGACGGGGGCUGGUUCCUGUCGGGGUUCCCGCCCUGGUACGGGUCC
rnacentral:tRNA from 1 species